ACUGCCACUAACCUCCGCAUCGUGAAACCCAAGUGCAAAAUGCAUCCCCCCGCAGGACAGCCUACCCUCCCACCCCCAAACCCACACACGACCCUGGUCUGACGGGGCAUCUCUGUGGAGCACAAAGGGGGGUCACCAGGCAGAGAAAGAGCCCCACAGGCACGGAGCCGGCUCCACGGGCGCUUUUCUCCCGCUUUCUUCCUCUCUCAGCUCUUUGUUAAGCUCCCUUUCAGCUGAGCCGGCAGAGCCUGGGUGUUCCGAGCUGACAAUAAUUGCUGCGUCUAGACAGUGUCUGGCGCACACUCGCCACGUCCAUCCCCAAGGCCUGAAAUGCAGGCACAGAGGACUGCUGGAUAGGACUGAGGGCUGUGCCCAUUGUACAGAUUGAAAGAGAACAGCCAGGGUGCUGGGUGCGGCCAAAUGGUUUCCCUGAGCACCUCCCGGGCACACAGCCCGGCCAGGCUGGGAGAGACAGAGGCCAACGUGGGGUUCUCGCCCCAUGAGACCACGGCCUGGAGUGGUGGCAAGUCAGCAGGGGGG